rnacentral:rRNA from 1 species
GGGGAAUAUUGGGCAAUGGGGGAAACCCUGACCCAGCAACGCCGCGUGAAGGAAGAAGGUUUUCGGAUUGUAAACUUCUGUCGCAGGGGACGAAAUAAAUGACGGUACCCUGUGAGGAAGCCCCGGCUAACUACGUGCCAGCAGCCGCGGUAAUACGUAGGGGGCGAGCGUUGUCCGGAAUUACUGGGCGUAAAGGGUGCGUAGGCGGCUUGACAAGUCAGAUGUGAAAUACCCGGGCUUAACCCGGGGGGUGCAUUUGAAACUGACGAGCUUGAGUGCAGGAGAGGAAAGCGGAAUUCCUAGUGUAGCGGUGAAAUGCAUAGAUAUUAGGAGGAACACCAGUGGCGAAGGCGGCUUUCUGGACUGCAACUGACGUUGAGGCACGAAAGCGUGGGGAGCAAAC